rnacentral:rRNA from 1 species
UUGGAGGGCAAGUCUGGUGCCAGCAGCCGCGGUAAUUCCAGCUCCAAUAGCGGUAUAUUAAAGUUGUUGUGGUUAAAAAAGCUCGUAGUUGAACCUUGGGCCUGGCUGGCCGGUCCGCCUCACCGCGUGUACUGGUCCGGCCGGGCCUUUCCCUCUGUGGAACCCCAUGCCCUUCACUGGGUGUGGCGGGGAAACAGGACUUUUACUGUGAAAAAAUUAGAGUGCUCCAGGCAGGCCUAUGCUCGAAUACAUUAGCAUGGAAUAAUAGAAUAGGA